rnacentral:rRNA from 1 species
UACCAGCACCCCGAGUGGUCGGGACGUUUUAUUGGGCCUAAAGCAUCCGUAGCCUGUUCUGCAAGUCCUCCGUUAAAUCCACCUGCUCAACGGAUGGGCUGCGGAGGAUACCGCAGAGCUAGGAGGCGGGAGAGGCAAACGGUACUCAGUGGGUAGGGGUAAAAUCCAUUGAUCUACUGAAGACCACCAGUGGCGAAGGCGGUUUGCCAGAACGCGCUCGACGGUGAGGGAUGAAAGCUGGGGGAGCAAACCGG